AUUGAACGCUGGCGGCAGGCCUAACACAUGCAAGUCGAGCGGAUGAAGGGAGCUUGCUCCUGGAUUCAGCGGCGGACGGGUGAGUAAUGCCUAGGAAUCUGCCUUGUAGUGGGGGAUAACGUCCGGAAACGGGCGCUAAUACCGCAUACGUCCUGAGGGAGAAAGUGGGGGAUCUUCGGACCUCACGCUAUCAGAUGAGCCUAGGUCGGAUUAGCUAGUUGGUUGGGUAAAGGCCUACCAAGGCGACGAUCCGUAACUGGUCUGAGAGGAUGAUCAGUCACACUGGAACUGAGACACGGUCCAGACUCCUACGGGAGGCAGCAGUGGGGAAUAUUGGACAAUGGGCGAAAGCCUGAUCCAGCCAUGCCGCGUGUGUGAAGAAGGUCUUCGGAUUGUAAAGCACUUUAAGUUGGGAGGAAGGACAGUAAGUUAAUACCUUGCUGUUUUGACGGUACCAACAGAAUAAGCACCGGCUAACUUCGUG
rnacentral:rRNA from 1 species